rnacentral:tRNA from 1 species
CGGAAUGUAGCGCAGUAGGUAGCGCACCUGGUUUGGGACCGGGGGGGCCGUGAGUUCGAGUCUCACCAUUCCGA